ensembl:lncRNA
ACGUCAUCUUUUUCUAUUGUUGCCGAGUCAGGGUCUCCUGUAACUGAGGGUGGCUCGCUGUGCAGCCAAGGAUGACCCUGGAUUCCUGAUAACUCAGAAAUAUCACACAAUAGCACCCAUUGAGGUGACACAUCUCAUCUGGUUCUGACAAGUCCAUGCUGCCUGGUGAAGUUCUGUUCCCGUGUCCCUAGUCCUUCUUUGGGUCACCGUCUUUCUCUUUUUAUUUUAUAAUGGUGGGGCUGGCUGCAGUGACUCACACCUUUAAUCCCAGCACUGAGGAGGGGGAGGCAGACCGAGCUCUGUGAGUUGAGGUCAGACAGCUAGGGCCAUGUAGAGAGAACCUGUCGGAAAUCAAACAAAAACUAUGCAUCUGUACAUGUGUGUGUGUGUGUGUGUAAGCGUGGGCACAAUCACACACAGAGCUGCUUCUUUCCUCCGAUCAGGGCUGUGUCAAUUCAGGGCAGCUGGAUUAGUGACAAACUUUCACCACUGACCAUCUUCACAUCCUACGUUUCCUUCUAAAACAUCCAGGCCUCGCCAGGGCACCGGAGGUCAGGGAUUCUGCAUAAGGCUUCACAUAGGUCGGGGAGAAGCUAGAGUGCACCCCAUGGAUGCAGGUUCUAAUCUUGGUGUAUAGGGAGAUCAUCUGGAUUUCUCUCUAUUUGUCUAACGCAGAUGAAUAAGGCAGCCCUCAGCUACUGGGACCGUAUGGGAGGCCACUGGAAGGCAUCUGAGGCAAGUGGCAAGGUCCUAAGUGAGGCAGACCCUCUUGGAAGGCUAGGUUAUUUCAGACCUCCCCGCAAAAGAUCAAAUAUGUUGGGAGAGCCACUCAUAAAGAAAAUGAACCUUCCAGAACUACAUAUCCACCAUGAACAUUAUAAACACGGGGACACGGGGCAGAGGGGGAGAGCGUGAGAGAGAGUGUCAGGUGGAUCUCAGGUGAGUUUGAGGCCAACUUGGUCUCAAACCAUACAGUGAAUUUCAGGAUAACCAGGGCUACACAGAGAAACCCUGUCUCAAAAACAACAAAAAGGGUCCAAGGAAGGAGGUUAGGCUGGUUCUUACAGUGCUGACGUAUGGACCUAAUACCAUCAGAGGGGUAUGGCCACACAUCCUGUGAGCUAGUCAUCUUUCUUGGAAGCAGUCAGUUUCUCUUUGGUGUGGAUGUGUAUGCAUUUAUACUUCAGGGGUUACAGCUGUGUUUCUCAACUUUUUGGAGCUUUUUAACCUACAUAUUUAAUGUACAUAGGCAGGUGUUCUUCCUGUAUGUAAACCAGAGAGGGCAUCAGAUCCCAUGGGACUACAGUUACAGAUGGCUGUGAGCCACCGUGUGGUGGCAGGACUUGAACUCUGGCCCUCUGAAGAGCAGCCAGUGCUCUGAGCCUGAGCCACACCUCACCUUUUGUGUUAAGGCCUCAACUGAGCUCUGGAGCUCCGGGAUUCAGACGUUAAGCGGCUCCAGGGAGCUGCCAGGCUCUGGCUCUCUAAUACCAGGGUUACUCCGGGCCUGGCUUUUUAACAGAUCUCGGGAUUCAAACUCAUGUCUUCCUGUCUGUACAGUAAGCACUUUGCCAAAGAAGUCACCCGCCCUCCAGGCCUAUUGCCUAAGCACUGUUCCCCUCUCAAGUGAAUCAGGGAUGCCCAGUUGCCAAGGCAGAGAAGCCAAGAGAAACCCUGUCUCCUGCAGUGCAGGGGAAGCAGGAAGUUCUGAAACCAAAGAGUAGGCUGCAGGGCCCAGAAGCCAAAAAGCAGCAUCUUAUAUUGGAGAGAAUGUCUGCUUUGAUACUUUAAAUUUUAUAAUAAAUCAUAAACGUGAC